AUGGCCGUGACGAAACUCAAGCUUGACUACCACGUUCCUCCUGAUGAUGCUGAAUGGUAUCAUCGUCUUGAUAGCUGGCUCCAGAUGGCUGUUAUGCCGACGACCAAAGAACUCGAGCUUCUAGUAUGGUCGAAAGAGGCGAGCUUUGAUUUCCCAUACACACUACUAUCUGACAGGUGUGGGGGCUCGAUUCAGAAGCUUCUCCUUUUCAGAUGUGCCUUACGUCCCACAUUUCAACUUGGUUUGAGAAGCCUGAAAACGCUGCAUCUGCGUGAUGUGCGUGUUACGGGGGAGGAGUUAGGGUGCCUUCUGUCCAGUUCCACUGCUUUGGAGCACCUGAAGCUCGUCUAUUGCGAUGAUAUAGUUCGCCUGGAGCUACCUUGCCUGCUGCGGCGACUCAGCUUCCUGGAGGUGGCUGGAUGCAUGAGUCUUCAAGUGACAGAACAAAGCUCCAAAUCUCUCCAGAUUUUACCUUGGAGCGGUUAUGCUACUGACAACCUUCCUUCCCGUGCACCGAAUCUUGAGACUCUUACCAUAUCUUCUACUUGUGAGAGAAUCAAUGCACCAAUGGUGGCAUCUAGCAAAUUCCUCCACCUCAAGUUCUUGAGUAUUCUUCUUAUGAGUGGAUCUAACUUUGACAAGGACUACGAUUAUUUAUCGUUGGUUCCUUUUUUCCCAAGCAUCUCCUGCCCUGGAGACGUUUCGCUUGUAGCGGAGCACUCCAUGUAUCACUGGUUUAAGGGAGAUCCUGCCUCUCUGAGGCGACUGCCACAACACUGCCAUGGGAACCUCAAGAGUGUUAUGAUCAUUGGUUUCUUCCCGCAAAAGAGCAUGAUUGAGCUGGCAUGUCAUCUUCUCGAGAAUGCAACGUCACUUGAGUCCCUUACAGUGGAUGCUAGUCCUGCUGAUUACUGUUGUUCUGGCAGUAAACCGGGCAGGAAAUGCUGUCCCCGGAAAGCUACAGCUAUAGUGAAGGCACUGAAAUACACACUUGUACUAUUGCAGCAUGCAUCUUGCUCUGCGCUAAUUCGCUCAGCCGAGCGCACGCUCACGGACCACAUGAUGAGAGAGAUUGAUCCCAUAUUUGGAAAGCUGCACACCAACUCAUGCUAUAUAUGGAAAGAUUCUACAAUAAAGUAUGUUGAUUUUUCUCCACAUCAUCCGGCCAACCAUGAGAAGCCAAUGAUGACGUAA
rnacentral:rRNA from 1 species